AAAAUUUUAAGUUAAUUAAACUAUUAAUCUUCAAAAUUAAAAUUAUUUUUUUAAAUAAGUUUUA
rnacentral:tRNA from 1 species